UGUAACAUUUCGUUUGGUGAUUAAAUA
rnacentral:piRNA from 1 species